rnacentral:lncRNA from 1 species
CUUCCCUGCGUGGGUGAGGGGCCGGCCGCGCCUGCCCCGCGCCCGCGUCCCGCAGUGUGAGGCCUCACGGAGCCUGCACGGGUGGGCGGGAAACAGUUUCCGGCCCAGGUGAAGGCAGGAUUGGAGCUGAUCUCACUUGAUUCCCAGCCGAAGAAUAACCUGUUUCCGGGCCGGGGAUUUAGCUCAGUGGUUCCGCCGCCUGCCUCACAGGCCCAAGGACCCAAGUUCGAUCCCCGGUAUCAAAAAAAAAAAAAAAAAAGAGUAACGUGUUUCCUCCCCUCCCCUCCGGUAUGAGUGCUGCAAGUUCUGCCUCGGGCGAAGUGUCUGUAAUUCCCACCAAAGACCUGGGGAGUUUCUGAGAUUCGUUCAGUGGCACACUAGUAGCUGAUGAGGAAGACCGGCCGAGACCUGAAACCAUCUAACUCCUACAGGACUUAAUCAAUCAGAUAUUCAUGCACUCCCUCCUUUAAACACCACACAGGCCUGAUGUAAGGAAUGGUGCAUGCACCCCAAGGGUUCCCAGCACCUUUCCAGAUAAAAGUAUCUGCAUUUAUUGGUAUCGAGAGCACAAUAUUACCUUUUUAUGACUAGAGUCGCAAAGAAGUGAGUGAAAUGAAAAUGCCAUUUGGCUAUUGUCCAGGCCCAAAUGUAGCUCUG